rnacentral:rRNA from 1 species
UACGAGGGGGGCGAGCGUUGUUCGGAAUUAUUGGGCGUAAAGGGUGCGUAGGCGGCCUGACAAGUCUGAUGUGAAAUCCCUGGGCUCAACCCAGGGCCUGCAUCGGAAACUGUCGGGCUUGAGUAUGGGAGAGGUGAGUGGAAUUUCCGGUGUAGCGGUGAAAUGCGUAGAUAUCAGGAGGAACACCGGUGGCGAAGGCGGGUCUCUGGGCCGAUACUGACGCUGAGGAGCGAAAGCGUGGGGAGCGAACAGG